rnacentral:lncRNA from 1 species
AGAGGACGCAGUUCCCAUGAGGCCAAGGCGACAGGAGCCCUGCCACCUCUUUACUGAAUUCCGGGGACCACACACUUUAAACCCCUCCGGGGCACGGGCGCAUAUACAGAACCAAACCACUUAUCAGGCCACAGGGCAGGUCUCAAUGGUUCCAAAGAGAGUACAACAAAGCCUGAAGCCACAUCAAAACCCUCCCAAGCCUGUACUGCCCUGACGGAGCAGAGCAAUCCCGGAGCGCUGCUGGAAAUCGCGGAGUGAGUCACGAGACAUUUCCAAGCGGAGUCUCGGAGUUUGCAGGUCACGGCUGAAAGGGCCUUCGGUCCCCUUUAUCCGGAAACACGGACGGUUCAAACUACCAGGAGGUGGGCCAGCCUCCAGCGUGAGGAGGCAGAGAGAAAGACACAGAACACACUCGGCAACAAGGAAAAGGAAGUCGGAGCGACAAGGGCAAACUCCAGCGAAGUAAGAACCCAGGCAAACAAACAGCACAGCGCAAGAUUAACCUCUGUCAAGACUGACCCAAAAAACGGAGAGGAAACGAACCCAGCAGGGGUAACUCGGGUGACCGAGGAGCCAUCCAGGCCGUCGCGUGGGGCGCACGCUCAGCUCCUCAGCCCGCCGCACAAGCGUCCAGUCCCUUCUCGGGAGCUGCGACGGCGACGGACCGGCUCAGACGGCUGGAGGAGAGCCUGCUGGAGCUUCACGGAAACCGGGUUUUCCAGGGACAGUCGAUGUCUGCGGUGCUCAGUUUCUCAGAUCAGCAGAGAGAGCGUGUGUGACAGCGGCCCAGCUCGCUGAUGAGCGAAGCUAUUCCCACCCCAGGGGAGGGCCGCGCAAGAGGCGGCUAAUGCCGGCCGUGGUCGGCUUGUGCGUGUGGCUCUACAACCUGCACACAAACGGUGAUCUGAUCUGUACACAUCAGAUGAGUCUUAAAAACAUAUGGUCUUCACCUUAAGAGGAGCCCAGGUCUCACCACAAAGGGGAAAGAAAGGCGUGUCUGAAUGCGGAAGACCACGCCUGACGUGUGACCCCCGCUUCUGACGGACAGCGAGACGGUGGAGGAAGGUUCUUAGCUCGGUAGAGGUGUGAUUUUAAACACCCUCUGCAAUCCUUUUUUGUUGUGGAAAACGAGCCCCAGUCCUCUCGAGUCAGGGGACGAGACAAGGGGACCCCCCCGGCUGAGAUGGUUCCAGGGUCCCCACCACCUCUGGCGGGUACGCGUCAGCCCUGAGGGAGGAAAGUCACCACGGGGACGACAGGGCCACAGGCCGCUCUCAGGGACAAGGCCCCAAGGAACAGCCGCUAGUGAAGCGUGGACGUUCGUGGGGACAGGGCAGCCUGGGCCCCGGAGCCCCCCAGCCAAGAGGACAACAUCUUAGAAGCAGCGAGAAAACGCCAAACCUGCCUGCCGCCUGGCUGGUAGAGGGAGUCUCGCUGGGACGGGCCGGACGCCUUGCCGUCACUGUCUGCGGCUGGAGGACAGGGGUGGCGGCUGGUUUCCGUGGCCGCUUCUGCCACUAGCCGCUGGUGGCCUUCCCCGCCCAGGCAGGCGGGGUCCAGGCCACCACCGCUUUCCACAACGAGUGAGAGAUGUGCCAUGGUCCCCGGGGUGCAAAUCACCGUGCGACUCCAGCAAACAGGCGUGUGUUUGUUUUACCCACGGGUUCCUAAUGGGUUUUCCAGCCGAGGAACUGCGUCUUCACACGCGUCCUGAGUGCAGGUCUGCAGCCCAGGGCAGCUCUGGCCAAGUGGGAGGGGAGGCCAGCCGCUCCUCCACCCCAAGGCCUCCCGGAGGCCCUGGGCCCCGGCAGUGAGGACACCCCCAGGAGUCCUAGCGCCUCGGCGGAGGAUAAUUAGGAGCAGCCAAGUGAGCUGAUGGGAAUUAGAGCAACUCUGCAGGGACCCACAGCGGCCAACAGGCGAGGGGACACCCUGUCCUUCCCACCAUGGUCCUCGUGGCGCUGCCUGUGACAGACUCUGAUCUCCUGGACUGGAGACAGGGACUGGGAGGGGGGGCAGGGCCAGGAGAGAGACAGACGUGGGGAGCAGGACGGCCGCCUGGUCCACGGCGGGUCCCCGCGGCUGCCCGCGGCUGCCCGGUGGCCCUGAGCUCAGGUAGUCCUGCUGCACCUGAAAACGGAGCUGCCACUGCUCGGUCAUUCCCAUCCAGUGAGACGCACCCAUUCUGAGUGUGCAGCACAUGCCGGGGGGCGGCAGAGAGUCCACACAACUGCGGGCCUGGAGGCUUCCGUCCCCCCAGCGCCCCCCACCCCCUGCUCUCCGUCGUUAUGACUUUAUGGCACGAUGGUCGUCCGCAGAAUUUCACUGUCUGGUCCUUCCGGAGGGCAGCGCGCUGCUUCUGCGGUCACGGCCAUCGGGCCCUGCGCGUGUGGGACGGCGACACUACUCAGCACGGGAUGCCUUCCGUUCAUCUGCUCCCGCCCGAGUUCAGGCCUUUGGCUGCGGGGACCCUUCUCCCUCGCGCUCUCCCAGCCACGCGGGCCGGAGCGGCGGGGCCGUGUGGGGUGUGGUUCACUUUUUAAGCAGCGGCCACGCUGCCUUCCAGGCGCGGUCAUCCGUGCUCCCUCGGGUGGGUUCCAGCCGCGCCAGGCUCGGGUCAGUGUCCGGGUUUGGAGGUUUCCCGUUGUCGGAGUGACCGUGCCGUGUCCUCUGGCCGUGGCUUAUAUCCGCGUCCCCGGUGACGCGGACAGGGUCUUUCAGAGCUUGCUGGCCACGUGGGCCUCGUCUUCUGUAAAACGUCUGCUCGAGUAUCUUGGCUGUUUUUUAAAAUGGGCCUUAUUUGUUUCCACGUAAAUUUUAAUUUUCAAUUUCAAUUGUAAGAGCCUGCUGGCAUUUUGAUUUGGAUUGUGUUAAAUCUAUAAAUUUUGUAAGAAAUGACCUCUGAACAUGGAGACCGGGAAUGGGUCCCAUCUCUCCGUUACCUGGGUCUUAACUUUCUCUGCAAUGAUCUUUUUUUUAAGCAUACAGGAUUUUGCUUAGUGUAUCCCCAAGUAUUUCAUGGUUUUGGAUGCUAUCGUUAAUGGUAUUUUUAUUGCAAUUUCUAACAGAUACAGAAAUACAAUUGAUUUGGUAUAUUGAUCUUGGAUCGUGGGCCUUUGCUAAAAUCACUUUUUAGUUCUAGUAAGGUUUUUUUGGGGGUAUGCUAUUUACGAUUUUUAUGUAAAUAAAAAUAUAAAUGUUUUACGUACUAGAUGAGUACUAUGUGAAUAAAGACGGUGGGACGUCUUCUU